rnacentral:sRNA from 1 species
GCUGGGUGUGGUGGUGCACACCUGUAAUCCCAGCAACUUGGGGGCUUCCCGACAGCCACAAGACCCCAUCCCAGGAUU